GACAUUGAUACAAUGCAACACUUGCCGUCAGUAUUUGAAAAUAUUGAUUAAGAAGCUGUGUGUAAAAGUGAAUGUUUAAAUGGAGGCUCAUGUAGAGGACCUGACUACUGCGCAUGUCCACAAAACUUUACAGGUCCUUUGUGUGAACUAGGUUGUCAGCAAGAUGAAAAGAAUAAAUAUGCAGUUAAAAGUCAAAAUGUGGAUAAGCUUCAAAGUUCAAGGUCCUACUUUUGCAGAUUUUCAUAUUUUGCAUGAAUGAAUUUAAAGUUUAUAUCAUGGACAGCAGUGAAAGAAAAAAAAAAUCUUUUCAAUUUUCCUGCUACAAAGGAUAAAUGUAAAGACAUCUUGUUUUCGAAGGAUUGAAAUGCAUCACCUAGAAUAAAUGAAGAAAACAUAGAAACAAGACCAGAAUACAUUCAAAGACAAUGUUGGAUCAGUUAUUAUUUUCAUCAAGCAGUCAAUGAUUUAGAGUUCUUUAAAAUACCAAACGAUCUUGAAACCACAAUAAUGUCAAUGUUCUUUGCUGAAUGACCAAAAAGUGGACUAUACAAACACACAGUGCUUGAUGAUAAGAAACUAUUAAUGUUUUGUGUGGAGGGAUAUUGUGAAAAAAAUACAUUUACUUAAAUAGCUACUAGUAUGUUUAGCCAAUAAUAGAGUUUUUCACUGAUUUCAAAUGGUAAAUAAUUGUGU